rnacentral:rRNA from 1 species
ACGAACGCUGGCGGCGUGCCUAAUACAUGCAAGUCGAACGCUUCUUUUUCCACCGGAGCUUGCUCCACCGGAAAAAGAGGAGUGGCGAACGGGUGAGUAACACGUGGGUAACCUGCCCAUCAGAAGGGGAUAACACUUGGAAACAGGUGCUAAUACCGUAUAACAAUCGAAACCGCAUGGUUUUGAUUUGAAAGGCGCUUUCGGGUGUCGCUGAUGGAUGGACCCGCGGUGCAUUAGCUAGUUGGUGAGGUAACGGCUCACCAAGGCGACGAUGCAUAGCCGACCUGAGAGGGUGAUCGGCCACAUUGGGACUGAGACACGGCCCAAACUCCUACGGGAGGCAGCAGUAGGGAAUCUUCGGCAAUGGACGAAAGUCUGACCGAGCAACGCCGCGUGAGUGAAGAAGGUUUUCGGAUCGUAAAACUCUGUUGUUAGAGAAGAACAAGGAUGAGAGUAACUGUUCAUCCCUUGACGGUAUCUAACCAGAAAGCCACGGCUAACUACGUGCCAGCAGCCGCGGUAAUACGUAGGUGGCAAGCGUUGUCCGGAUUUAUUGGGCGUAAAGCGAGCGCAGGCGGUUUCUUAAGUCUGAUGUGAAAGCCCCCGGCUCAACCGGGGAGGGUCAUUGGAAACUGGGAGACUUGAGUGCAGAAGAGGAGAGUGGAAUUCCAUGUGUAGCGGUGAAAUGCGUAGAUAUAUGGAGGAACACCAGUGGCGAAGGCGGCUCUCUGGUCUGUAACUGACGCUGAGGCUCGAAAGCGUGGGGAGCAAACAGGAUUAGAUACCCUGGUAGUCCACACCGUAAACGAUGAGUGCUAAGUGUUGGAGGGUUUCCGCCCUUCAGUGCUGCAGCUAACGCAUUAAGCACUCCGCCUGGGGAGUACGACCGCAAGGUUGAAACUCAAAGGAAUUGACGGGGGCCCGCACAAGCGGUGGAGCAUGUGGUUUAAUUCGAAGCAACGCGAAGAACCUUACCAGGUCUUGACAUCCUUUGACCACUCUAGAGAUAGAGCUUCCCCUUCGGGGGCAAAGUGACAGGUGGUGCAUGGUUGUCGUCAGCUCGUGUCGUGAGAUGUUGGGUUAAGUCCCGCAACGAGCGCAACCCUUAUUGUUAGUUGCCAUCAUUUAGUUGGGCACUCUAGCAAGACUGCCGGUGACAAACCGGAGGAAGGUGGGGAUGACGUCAAAUCAUCAUGCCCCUUAUGACCUGGGCUACACACGUGCUACAAUGGGAAGUACAACGAGUCGCAAAGUCGCGAGGCUAAGCUAAUCUCUUAAAGCUUCUCUCAGUUCGGAUUGUAGGCUGCAACUCGCCUACAUGAAGCCGGAAUCGCUAGUAAUCGCGGAUCAGCACGCCGCGGUGAAUACGUUCCCGGGCCUUGUACACACCGCCCGUCACACCACGAGAGUUUGUAACACCCGAAGUCGGUGAGGUAACCUUUUGGAGCCAGCCGCCUAAGGUGGGAUAGAUGAUUGGGGUG